GAAGGCGAGGGGUAGAAGAGCACAGGGGUUCUGAUAAACCCUUCUGCCUGCAUUCUACUCCCAG
ensembl:miRNA MIR6738 microRNA 6738